UCAAAGUGGAAAUAAAAUGGAAAGUCCACAAAGUCCUUCAAAACACCAAAUGAAUAGCCAAGAAAAUUAUGGAAGAUUGGAAAUAAAAUGAGAAACAUAUAAUAAAAUUUUCAGAAUUUUAGAAUGCAAAAAAGUAUUUUUAAACCAAUUAAAAUAAGGGAGAAAAGAGAAAAUUCAUUAAAAAAAUAGAAAACUAAUGAAAUAAAAUAUGAAAAAAAUAAAAAUCAGAUGAAGAAAAAUAAAAGAGAAUUUUAAAUAUUAUUUUGGGAUUUUUUGGAUAAAAAAUGAAAUUACUAUGAAUUUUUAAAGAAAAAUUAAUUUAAAAAUAAAAAUAGAAAAAUAACUAAAUCAGAAAAAAAAAACAGGAGCAUUG
rnacentral:lncRNA from 1 species